rnacentral:rRNA from 1 species
AACGCGAAGAACCUUACCUGGGCUCGAACGGCUCGUGAUCGGCUGUGGAAACACGGCUUUCCCGCAAGGGACUAGAGUCGAGGUGCUGCAUGGCUGUCGUCAGCUCGUGUCGUGAGAUGUUGGGUUAAGUCCCGCAACGAGCGCAACCCUCGUCCUGUGUUGCCAACCCGCAAGGGUGCACUCUCAGGAGACCGCCAGCGAUAAGUUGGAGGAAGGUGGGGAUGACGUCAAGUCAUCAUGGCCUUUAUGUCCAGGGCUACACACGUGCUACAAUGGGCGGUACAAUGCGCUGCAAACCCGCGAGGGAGAGCCAAUCGCAAAAAACCGUCCUCAGUUCGGAUUGCAGGCUGCAACUCGCCUGCAUGAAGCUGGAAUCGCUAGUAAUGGCGUAUCAGAACGACGCCGUGAAUACGUUCCCGGGCCUUGUACACACCGGAGUGC